AAUCAACGCUGGCGGCGUGCCUAACACAUGCAAGUCGAACGAGAAAGUGGAGCAAUCCAUGAGUAAAGUGGCGACCGGGUGAGUAACACGUGACUAACCUACCUUCGAGUGGGGGAUAACCUCGGGAAACCGGGGCUAAUACCGCAUAACAUCUUUGGAGUGGAAAUUUCGGAGAUCAAAGGAGCAAUUCGCUGGAAGAGGGGGUCGCGGCUGAUUAGCUAGUUGGCGGGGUAACGCCCACCAAGGCUUAGAUCGGUAGCCGGCCUGAGAGGGCGCACGGCCACACUGGAACUGAAACACGGUCCAGACUCCUACGGGAGGCAGCAGUGGGGAAUUUUGCGCAAUGGGGGAAACCCUGACGCAGCAACGCCGCGUGGAGGAUGAAGUCCCUU
rnacentral:rRNA from 1 species